GUCCUAGCCGUAAACGUUGGGUGCUAGGUGUGGGCGGAUAUCGACCCCGUCCGUGCCGAAGCUAACGCAUUAAGCACCCCGCCUGGGGAGUACGGCCGCAAGGCUAAAACUCAAAGGAAUUGACGGGGCCCGCACAAGCGGCGGAGCAUGUGGCUUAAUUCGAAGCAACGCGAAGAACCUUACCUGGGCUUGACAUGCGGGGUGAAACCGUAGAGAUACGGCGCUCCUCGGAGCCCGCACAGGUGGUGCAUGGCUGUCGU
rnacentral:rRNA from 1 species